UACGAAGGGGGCUAGCGUUGUUCGGAAUUACUGGGCGUAAAGGGCGCGUAGGCGGUCCCUCAAGUCAGGCGUGAAAGCCCCGGGCUCAACCCAGGAACUGCGUUUGAAACUGCCGAUCUUGAGUAGUGGAGAGGGAAGUGGAAUUCCUGGUGUAGAGGUGAAAUUCGUAGAUAUCAGGAGGAACACCAGUGGCGAAGGCGGCUUCCUGGACCUGAUCUGACGCUGAGGAGCGAAAGCGUGGGGAGCGAUCCGG
rnacentral:rRNA from 1 species